rnacentral:lncRNA from 1 species
AUAAGUCAUGUCGAUAUGAGCCAAUCGAUACCCGAAACCCUAGCAUCGGCUCAUGGAUUUCAAAUGGGCCUCAUUAUCGGGCUCAAAUCUAUAUGAAACGCGUAAUUAAAAUGCAGCGGCCCAGUGUCGCUUUAAUGAAACUAUGAAUUUUAAAGAAAAUGGACAGGUGUCACAUUCUCAUUUCAUUAUUUUCUGACGUGGCAGCCUCACAGAAGCUCUUUUUUAUAGUAUUAGAUAUUAAAUUUAGAAAAUCAGAUUUUUGAAGUUCCCUUGAAAUGCUUUAAUAGCCAGAACACUUCCAUUGCAUUAAAAUUUUAAUUCAACACACUUGGAAAUUAUUUCACUACGUUGAUAUACUUAAGACAAUGAUAGAUAUUAUAAACUCAAUGAUU